rnacentral:rRNA from 1 species
GACGAACGCUGGCGGCGUGCUUAACACAUGCAAGUCGAGCGGUAAGGCCCUUUCGGGGGUACACGAGCGGCGAACGGGUGAGUAACACGUGGGUGACCUGCCCUCAGCUCUGGGAUAAGCCUGGGAAACCGGGUCUAAUACCGGAUAUGACUCCAUGACGCAUGUUGUGGGGUGGAAAGCCUUGUGCGGCUGAGGAUGGGCCCGCGGCCUAUCAGCUUGUUGGUGGGGGAUGGCCUACCAAGGCGACGACGGGUAGCCGGCCUGAGAGGGCGGACCGGCCACACUGGGACUGAGACACGGCCCAGACUCCUACGGGAGGCAGCAGUGGGGAAUCUUGCGCAAUGGGCGAAAGCCUGACGCAGCGACGCCGCGUGA